rnacentral:rRNA from 1 species
CUACGGAGGGUGCAAGCGUUGUUCGGAAUCACUGGGCGUAAAGGGCGCGCAGGCGGUUUUACAAGUCAGAUGUGAAAGCCCACGGCUCAACCGUGGAAGUGCAUUUGAAACUGUAAGACUUGAGUAUCAGAGGGGAAGGUGGAAUUCCCGGUGUAGAGGUGAAAUUCGUAGAUAUCGGGAGGAAUACCGGUGGCGAAGGCGACUUUCUGGCUGAAUACUGACGCUGAGGCGCGAAAGCGUGGGGAGCAAACAGGAUUAGAAACCCUAGUAGUCC